UACGUAGGGGGCAAGCGUUGUCCGGAAUCAUUGGGCGUAAAGCGCGUGUAGGCGGUUCGGUAAGUCCGCUGUGAAAGUCCAGGGCUCAACCCUGGGAUGCCGGUGGAUACUGUCGGGCUAGAGUACGGAAGAGGCGAGUGGAAUUCCCGGUGUAGCGGUGAAAUGCGCAGAUAUCGGGAGGAACACCAAUUGCGAAGGCAGCUCGCUGGGACGUUACUGACGCUGAGACGCGAAAGCGUGGGGAGCAAACAGG
rnacentral:rRNA from 1 species